rnacentral:rRNA from 1 species
GACGUAGGGUGCGAGCGUUGUCCGGAUUUAUUGGGCGUAAAGAGCUCGUAGGCGGUCUGUCGCGUCUGCUGUGAAAACUCGGGGCUUAACCCCGGGCCUGCAGUGGGUACGGGCAGACUAGAGUGCGGUAGGGGAGACUGGAAUUCCUGGUGUAGCGGUGAAAUGCGCAGAUAUCAGGAGGAACACCGGUGGCGAAGGCGGGUCUCUGGGCCAUAACUGACGCUGAGAAGCGAAAGCAUGGGGAGCGAACAGG